GACGAACGCUGGCGGCGUGCUUAACACAUGCAAGUCGAACGGAAAGGCCCUGCUUUUGUGGGGUGCUCGAGUGGCGAACGGGUGAGUAACACGUGAGUAACCUGCCCUUGACUUUGGGAUAACUUCAGGCAACUGGGGCUAAUACCGGAUAGGAGCUCCUGCUGCAUGGUGGGGGUUGGAAAGUUUCGGCGGUUGGGGAUGGACUCGCGGCUUAUCAGCUUGUUGGUGGGGUAGUGGCUUACCAAGGCUUUGACGGGUAGCCGGCCUGGGAGGGUGACCGGCCACAUUGGGCCUGAGAUACGGCCCAGACUCCUACGGGAGGCAGCAGUGGGGAAUAUUGCACAAUGGGCGGAAGCCUGAUGCAGCAACGCCGCGUGCGGGAUGACGGCCUUCGGGUUGUAAACCGCUUUCGCCUGUGACGAAGCGUGAGUGACGGUAAUGGGUAAAGAAGCACCGGCUAACUACGUG
rnacentral:rRNA from 1 species